rnacentral:rRNA from 1 species
CCUACGGGGUGCAGCAGUGAGGAAUAUUGGUCAAUGGACGAGAGUCUGAACCAGCCAAGUAGCGUGAAGGAUGACUGCCCUAUGGGUUGUAAACUUCUUUUAUAUGGGAAUAAAAUGUUCCACGUGUGGGAUUUUGUAUGUACCAUAUGAAUAAGGAUCGGCUAACUCCGUGCCAGCAGCCGCGGUAAUACGGAGGCUCCGAGCGUUAUCCGGAUUUAUUGGGUUUAAAGGGAGCGUAGGUGGAUUGUUAAGUCAGUUGUGAAAGUUUGCGGCUCAACCGUAAAAUUGCAGUUGAAACUGGCAGUCUUGAGUACAGUAGAGGUGGGCGGAAUUCGUGGUGUAGCGGUGAAAUGCUUAGAUAUCACGAAGAACUCCGAUUGCGAAGGCAGUUCACUGGACUGCAACUGACACUGAGGCUCGAAAGUGUGGGUAUCAAACAGGAUUAGAUACCCGUGUAGUC